AUUGAACGCUGGCGGCAGGCCUAACACAUGCAAGUCGAACGAGUGGCGGACGGGUGAGUAAUGUCUGGGAAACUGCCUUAUGGAGGGGGAUAACUACUGGAAACUGUAGCUAAUACCGCAUACCAUCGGAUGUGCCCAAAUGGGAUUAGGUAGUAGGUGGGGUAAAGGCUCACCUAGGCGACGAUCCCUAGCUGGUCUGAGAGGAUGACCAGCCACACUGGAACUGAGACACGGCCCAGACUCCUACGGGAGGCAGCAGUGGGGAAUAUUGCACAAUGGGCGCAAGCCUGACGCAGCCAUGCCGCGUGAAUGAAGAAGGCCUUCGGGUUGUAAAGUACUUUCGGUGGGGAGGCGUUAACCAAAGAAGAAGCACCGGCUAACUCCGUGCCAGCCGCCGCGGUAAUAC
rnacentral:rRNA from 1 species